GGCAACCCACUCAGGUCCCCUUCCACACUGUGGAAGCUUUGUUCUUUUGCUCUUUGCAAUAAAUCUUGCUACUGCUGGCUCUUUGGGUCCACACUGCUUUUAUGAGCUGUGACACUCACCGCAAAGGUCUGCAGCUUCACUCCUGAAGCCAGCGAGACCACGAGCCCACUGGGAGGAAGGAACAACUCCAGACGCACUGCCUUAAGAGCUGUAACACUCACUGCGAAGGUCUGCAGCUUCACUCCUGAGCCAGCGAGACCACGAACCCACCAGAAGGAAGAAACUCCAAACACAGCUGAACAUCAGAAGGGACAAACUCCAGACGCGCCCCCUUAAGAGCUGUAGCACUCACCACGAGGGUCCGCGGCUUCAUUCUUGAAGUCAGUGAGACCAAGAACCCACCAAUUCCAGACACAACUGCACCCAGCCAUGAAAAGUUAUUUUUAAAAGUCUUCAUAUUUACAAGUGCUGAGUUUGUCUGCUUCUCCUUAUCGGGCCUCAAGAAAACGCAGCCAGACCCAGUUUGGUUCCGGAAACAAUAUGAGUUCAUCCCUUUUUCCUUGUUCACUCAGCUCCCAUAUAUCUCUUAGGCAGAGAUUUUUAGGAGUUCACAAUGCACACAUUUCCUUCCCUCAAAAGGGGAAAAUAUAUAUAAAUGUAAAACGAAAAGAGCAAAUGGAACAACUACAAAAAGAAAAUGAAACUUAAGAUUAAAAAAUGCAGAUCCAAAAAUUUUUUUCUAAACUGGGAGAUUAAGAAACAAAAUAAAAUUCUCAAACAUUAAUAUAUGCCAGGUUUUUUUGAGACUACAGCUGGCUAUGUAUCAUGGCUGGUUCUUCUGUACAUUUUAAAUUGAUGGACAGAUUACACUAAAACAAUUCAGGGCCGGGCGAGGUGGCUGAAGCCUGUAAUCACAGGACUUUGGGAGGACGAGGCGGGCGGAUCACUUGAGGUCAGGAGUUUGAAACCAGCCUGGCCAACUUGGCGAAACUCCAUCUCUAAUAAAAAUACACAAAUUAGCUGGGUGUGGUGGUACACACCUGUAGUCCCAGCUACUUGAGAAGCUGAGGCAGGAGUAUCACUUGAUCCCAGGAGGCGGACGUUGCAGUAAGCCGAGAUCGUGCCACUGCACUCCAGCCUGGGUGACAGAGCAAGACUCCUUCUGAAAAAAAGAAAAAGAAAAGGAAUUCAGAGCUCAGAUGGUCAACUUAUAACUUUAGAGUUAGCACACAGAGCCUUCUAAGUUCUCUGUUUUUUUUUCUGCCCACUUUAAAUCUGCUAACUUUUCUACUGGUAUUGAGAUAAAGCUCACUGUUUAUGGUAUUGCUAAUGCAAAAUUACUUAGAGAUUUUGUGUGUGUGUGUGUUUUUGACAAUUCAGACAGUUCUAACUAAAAUAUAAACAUUAAAAUGUUAACCCUAAGAUCAUUUAGAACUAAAGAAAAAAGGGGCAGAAGAUGUUUUUAAAAUCAAACUGCCAUAAGAAUUGCUUUACCCAAAAUUUUGAUCCACAGCCUUCAUUAAGUUAUCUGUUGAGACAAAGUUUAAGCCAUGUAAACAAGUUCCAAUUUUGUCAUCUGUAAUAUGGAUCCAACUGUCUUUUAUAAACUAGUAAGUUUAUGCUACUCUCUCAUGACUAAAAUUCUAAAAUAAAUACUAUAAAGUCUU